UACGGGGGGAGCAAGCGUUGUUCGGAUUUACUGGGCGUAAAGGGCGCGUAGGCGGCCACCGCAAGUCGAUUGUGAAAUCUCCGGGCUUAACCCGGAAAGGUCAACCGAUACUGCGGGGCUAGAGUGCAGAAGGGGCAACUGGAAUUCUCGGUGUAGCGGUGAAAUGCGUAGAUAUCGAGAGGAACACCUGCGGCGAAGGCGGGUUGCUGGGCUGACACUGACGCUGAAGUGCGAAAGCUAGGGGAGCAAACGGG
rnacentral:rRNA from 1 species